UCUGCCCAGACUGACUCUUCAGAGCAUGUA
rnacentral:piRNA from 1 species